rnacentral:lncRNA from 1 species
UUUUAAAUUUUAUUAGGAAACAUUUAGAAGUUUGAUUAUAACAAAACAUUAAGUCUAUCACAAUUUUAACAAUUACAAAAUUAAUCUUUACAUGGUAUAAAACAUACAAUUAUGCAAGAAAUGCUCUCAAUAUUAGAUAGCACCAUAUCUUAAUAAUCUUUUAAAGGCCACACCUAAUUAUUUUCGUAUGCAUUAUCCUAGCAUUAGUCUGAUUAUAGCAAGUCUAAUUAAUAUUGUAUUUUUUUUUUAUUUUAAAAAAAUUCAGUAACUUUCACCUUUUUUUGGCAUAUAUCUAUUCUAGGAACAACAAGUUUAUUUGGUGUGACCUCACUAUAAAUGUAGUUAUGUACAGUUAUAAAAUAGGUGCACACAUAUAAAUAAGCCGUCGGCAGAUGACAGGAGAUCUGAGGUUAUUAUGAAUGAGACAUCAACCUAACAACAAAAAAAUCCUUAAGAGGUUAAUAUUUGACAUUAUUUGCACCAAUUGUAUCAAGUUGUUUUGAUUGGAUAAUUCAUUGAUGGUGUUUAACACUACUUUCAACACUAUUGGCUUUUUAAUGGUGGCCAGUUUUAUUGGUGGAAAAAGGGGGAGUGCACUGUGAGAUCCAUCGCUCUUCAGCAUAAAAAAUUACAAUCUAAGUCAAUUAAUAUAUGAGUCAAAUGUAUCUGCCAUGUGUGGGGUUGGAACUCACAAUCUCAGUCAUGCAGUCUGUUACAGUAGUUAUACAGUAGCUGGAAAGUUUGGACCACUCGGCCAGCAAGAUGCCUAAGUUGUAUUCAACUACCAUAUUUAGCUGUGUAUAGUCAUGAUUGUAUGCAGUUGUUUAUAACAUGCAUCCCCUUUAUGUCCCUCCAAAAUCAUGACUUUUUUUUACACACAGCAAGGACGCAAGUCUAACACAUUUAGCGUGAGACUCUCGCAUGUUCACUCUUUUU